GGGUCGUUGAGCGGGCUGGACCUCUCGGGGUUACAGCCUUGCUGAAUUAUUCACCCUUGUCUUUUGCGUACUUCUUGUUUCCUUGGUGGGUUCGCCCACCACUAGGACAAACAUAAACCUUUUGUAAUUGCAAUCAGCGUCAGUAACAAAUUAAUAAUUACAACUUUCAACAACGGAUCUCUUGGUUCUGGCAUCGAUGAAGAACGCAGCGAAAUGCGAUAAGUAGUGUGAAUUGCAGAAUUCAGUGAAUCAUCGAAUCUUUGAACGCACAUUGCGCCCUUUGGUAUUCCAAAGGGCAUGCCUGUUCGAGCGUCAUUUGUACCCUCAAGCUUUGCUUGGUGUUGGGCGUCUUGUCUCUAGCUUUGCUGGAGACUCGCCUUAAAGUAAUUGGCAGCCGGCCUACUGGUUUCGGAGCGCAGCACAAGUCGCACUCUCUAUCAGCAAAGGUCUAGCAUCCAUUAAGCCUUUUUUUCAACUUUUGACCUCGGAUCAGGUAGGGAUACCCGCUGAACUUAAGCAUAUCAUAACCCGGAGGAAACAGGAACAUAUCAUAGAAAUAGGACGA
rnacentral:rRNA from 1 species